rnacentral:tRNA from 2 species
UGGGGAAUAGUCUAAUGGCAGGACAGCGGUCUCUGGAAUCGUAGGUCGGGGUUCGAAUCCCUGUUCCCCAGCAA